rnacentral:Y_RNA from 1 species
GGCUGGUUGGAAGGCAGUGAGCUAUCUCAAUUGAUUUUUCACAAUUACAGAUUGAACUACCUGUUCUUCCCCCACCCAUCACUACUGUACUUGACUAGUCUAAA